rnacentral:lncRNA from 1 species
UUUUAAUCUCAAACCAUCGACCCUGUCCUAAUCUAUUUGGGUUUUGAACCCAUUUUUCUUUUCACCUGUCCUAAUUCUAUGUCUCGAACCUUUGACUCGAGUCUUCGCUUCACUUGUAUUAAGUACAGUUUUGGCUUCGAGGCCCAAAAUAAAUAACCCAAGAAAUAAAUAACUAAAAAGAAAAUAAAUAAUAAAUGAUACAACCAUAGAUAAAUAAAUAAAAGAAUGAGACUUUCGGAUCUCAUUGCCACNNNNNNNNNNNNNNNNNNNNNNNNNNNNNNNNNNNNNNNNNNNNNNNNNNNNNNNNNNNNNNNNNNNNNNNNNNNNNNNNNNNNNNNNNNNNNNNNNNNNNNNNNNNNNNNNNNNNNNNNNNNNNNNNNNNNNNNNNNNNNNNNNNNNNNNNNNNNNNNNNNNNNNNNNNNNNNNNNNNNNNNNNNNNNNNNNNNNNNNNNNNNNNNNNNNNNNNNNNNNNNNNNNNNNNNNNNNNNNNNNNNNNNNNNNNNNNNNNNNNNNNNNNNNNNNNNNNNNNNNNNNNNNNNNNNNNNNNNNNNNNNNNNNNNNNNNNNNNNNNNNNNNNNNNNNNNNNNNNNNNNNNNNNNNNNNNNNNNNNNNNNNNNNNNNNNNNNNNNNNNNNNNNNNNNNNNNNNNNNNNNNNNNNNNNNNNNNNNNNNNNNNNNNNNNNNNNNNNNNNNNNNNNNNNNNNNNNNNNNNNNNNNNNNNNNNNNNNNNNNNNNNNNNNNNNNNNNNNNNNNNNNNNNNNNNNNNNNNNNNNNNNNNNNNNNNNNNNNNNNNNNNNNGUUAAACCAUCCAAACAUAAUUCGUUAAUCAACUCAUUCUUCACUAGGGAUUGAGCAUGGAUCUUAGUAUUUGACUUGAAAUACAACAUUUAAUACCGAAAUAGUAUGAAAGCACCUCAAAAAUUUAUUAAAAUUUAUAAUCAAAGUAGUCCUCCUACGAAACUAUGAAUUAGAAGAUAAAAAAAAGUCAACUUCGACAAACCAACUUCAGCUAGCCUAUUAAUAACUAGCUACCGUCAUUGAUUUAAUCUUCCUUUAAACAAUUUUGUCAACACCCAAAACUUAUUUACUGAAAGCUACGAACUCUAAUAAGUCUUAGAAAAUCCGCUAUUAGAAGGGUAAAGAAAAACAACAUGUAUCAAAAGAUAAAAUAAAAAUACAAACGGCAGAUCAAGAUAACGAGAGAGAGUAACACAUGAGAAGACUGUUUAGAACUUAUUUUGAUGAGUAUCACUUUUCCAAGCCGAGCAAAAUAUAUUCACCAUGAAUGUCAAACUAAAAAGUAACACCAAUCAAAAAGAGAGGAGACUAGAAAAGUUAGAGACAGAAUUUUUACAAAUAUCAAAAAUUUAGACAACGCAUUACUAGACAGAUAUCAACUAAGCACAGAAGAAAUUUUAUAAUCCACGGUCAACAGAGAACACAACGUGGUUAACAUCCUUUGUUCAAAGAGGAUAGACCCAACAUGAGCGAACCAGAACUGCUCAACUACUAGUUGUAGAUUCAGUUAAUAGAACAACUGCUAAAAGAAACAAAACAACAGCUGCAUCACCCUCAGAUUUCUUAAACAAAUUAAUCAAAUUUAUACAAUGGCAGCAUCACACUUGACCAAUUAAUCAAAUCUCUUCAAGAGUAGCACCACACUUAACAAAAUCAAAUUUCCAUAGCAUGAAAACACAGAGAAAGGAUGGAAAGAAAACAAUAAAGAAAGUAAGGUCUUCUACGACGCACAAAACAACAAUUAAAAUUACUACCUACUGCUAUUACCAUCAUGCGUUCAUUGUUUCUACAUUUCAAAACUACUUCUAUGGAAUUCAUAGCCCUCUACGCCAAGCAAGUCCCAGGCUCAUUCAUGAUUAAUACUACACAGAUAAAUGAUUCUACGGAGAAAAAGGGAUGAAGUCGAAAACAAUGAAAUUAAAAGGAUGAGCAUAUGUUUACCUCCUUCGGGGCAGCAAAAUGGGACUCGAGCUUCGUUCGGAAUUCCUGACCACCAGAAAAUUAAGGUUUCAAGAAUCUUGAUUAAUUGACAGCUAAAAUUUUUACUCAAAAAUGAAAAUUUUCACUGAUUUUUACUUGAAGAUGGUUUUUUCUCCUUUUUUUUUCUAACCCCUUCUUUUCUUUCAUCAGUAGGAUGCUUAUACAGAAGACGAAUGAGGGGUACUUUGGGUUUUUUUCAAAUAGGAAUUUGAAAUUCAAAAAUGAGGACAAUGUUUUUCUAACCGUUUGUACCAAUUUCAUCAUUUUUUUUCAAAAUUGGUUUCAACCAAUAGGGGUGAGAAAAAGAGAAAUCCCCUCAAGACCAAUGAAAUUGAUGAACCUUUGUACAAACUUGUACCCUGUUACCCGAGAUUCACAGAAUAUGGACGUUAGAGGGGACACCUAACCUCAUUUCUAGAAGAUUCGAGGGUUUUCCUCUCAAAUUCGAGUGGGAUACAAUUGAAGAGCAAACGAAAGGGUUGGGUAUGGUGGAAUCGGGUUAUCAGGUUGACACUGUUGAACAGGUUGAAGUUAGGUUGGGUACUGGAUUGUUUUUGUUGAUCGAUAUUGCAUAAUCUCCUUGAGGGAGUUAUUGUUGUUGUUUAUGUUAAGGAUUAAAGGAGGAAGGGAAGUGAGCAUUCGGCUGGGUCGGCCGUUAUUUGGGCCUGGGGGGCUGUAGUUGUUUUGUUUUGGACUGGUUGGUGACAGGUUGGGUCAGCUGAUGCUGUUGGGCUGCACAUCUGGCCCAGAUUUGGGUUUUUAGGGCUGGGGUGAUUUAGAAAAUAGCUUCAAUUAGCAUUUAACCCAUUCUAAUUAAAUUUUGAUCAAAUUAGAUGUUAAUUGGCCAAACGCAUUGCGAUUGUGGCCAAUUUACUUUCAAUUUAUGAUAAAUUUAAUAGAUUGAUUAAAUUGAAUUGAAAUUAAAUAUGCAUUACUACUUCUUUUAACCCCGAGCUUCUUGAUUUAAUAAAAUCGAAUGCAUAUUUAUCCAAAUAAAUUAUUUUUGAGAAUAAAUUAUAUUUCAAUCAAGAUUUUAAUCAUUUGAAUUUAUUUUCAAGAUGAGCCUUAAUUAAAUCCGAUAUUUUAUAAAAUAAAUAUUUAAGUGAAAAAUUAUAUAAUCUCGUAUAACUGAACACGAUAGUAUAUGAUCGCUACUUAAAAUGAAAAGAUCACGUACGAAAAAUAUUUUAAUUUUUUUAUUUGGAUGAAAUAAUUAUUUUGGUUUUAUUAAAAACUGAAGAAACUUACGAUUAAAUUUAGUCGUGAAGGGAAAAAAUUAGGUGUCAACAACUGCCCCCUCCCUUUGGGUAGGGUGGAUGUAAGUAACCCUGGGCAAAGGGAGGUUGACGUUCCUAAUUUUUGUCAGACCAUAGAUUUAAAUCUGAAAGAGGCUGGUUUUUGCACGAGUUUCAUAAAGUCAUGGCCAAACCUCGAUAUUAGGUUUCCUACAAAUCUCAGGUUACAUGAGAAUUCAGGCCACUUGUAGUUCAUAGUGCUUGAUUUAAAGCACAAUUUUCAGAAAAUUCAUAAGCUAUCUUGGUUUUAGAGUUUUUGAUAAAAUUGAGAAAUUGGAGAAUAAAAGGAUUAGGGGGGAGGUUGGAAUGUAGUCAAGUUUUCUUCAUAGAUCCCAGCCUACAUAUCCCCAAGAUUUAGAGAAUCAGACUGCUUGUAGUUCGACUCAAUCGGUAGAAAAGAUAGUCUUUUAUUUCAGACGAUCUUUGCCUCAAGAUGAGUGACAAGUUGAUCUAGUUUUGAAAAAGAGGCUUGUAACCUCUUAACCAUGAAUGUGAGAUCCUUCACACCCAUAGACAAGAACUUACCCGAACAUAAUUUCCAAACUCUGAGUAUGUUGUCACCCGACUUUGAAAGAAAGAGAAGGUUACCCUCAAUAUGUGUUUAAAAAUAUCUCGAAAGUGAAGCAGAAACCAGAAUAUCCUAAAAUACCCAUAGGCCUUCUAACAGGGGUGUGGUUUGAUGGUGGUGGUGAUCAUCCUUUAUCUCGCUUCCAAAGAGUUUGACGUCCCUUUCUAGACUAUGUCCCAUUUUGCUGCUAAGAAAGAGUUUCAUGUUGUGCUGCAUCCUUUCUGGAAACGUCCGCACCUGUGGGCUUGAUUUGAGAUUUUCAUCCUCUCGGAUACUCUCGACAAUAUCUCAAACAAAAUUGUUAGUGCUAACAUAGUUCACGAAAUAGGUAGGUAGUCCUUUACCAUAUCUCCACAUGAGUUGUGGCCUGAAAAGUGAAAUCAUCUCUUCAUGUACCUAUUUGGAAUGAAAUAACUAGAAACAACAGACAUAACAACCCUCUUGGUUGUUGUAUAAUUAUGACAUUUGUCGGUUGAAUAUGCCUUCAAAGUGGGGUAGCCCUUUUGGACACCGGCGAUACUUUAUAUACGCCGGUCCCUACAAUUGUUUAAUCUUAUGCUGGUAUGGAAAACCUUUUGGUUACCUAUAUCACUUGUUGUAUGUGGAAUGAUAACCUCUCCGGUUAUAGCCGAUGAUCGAUUUAUAAAUUUUCUUUAAAUUGUCAAUCUUUGGAUAAUCUUGCACAUUAUUUGAUGUUGGAUACGAGGCGACUUACAGAUAUCCUUUGAAUUUCUAGCUUUUAGGUAAUCCUUCAAAUUAUUCGACUUUGGAUAAGAGAUGGCUUACAGAUAUCCCUCCAAUCUCUAGCUUUCAGGUGUUACUGCACAUCAUCUGACCUUGGAUAUAAUAUGACUUAUAGAUAAUCCCUUAAAUUGUUAAUCUUUGGGUAAUCCUACACAUAAUCGAUCUUGUAGAUAACACGGCUUAUAUAGAACCCUUAGACGUAUCAAUUUGAUAAUAUUGCAUAUUCUCCGGUAAGGAUUUAGUUGUGACUUAUGGAUAACCUUUGAACUGUCAAUUUUUGGGCGAUCUUGCACACUAUCUGAUUAGAAUGUUGUUAUGGCUUACGGAUGACCUACAGGCUAUCAAAUCAUAGGUGAUCUUGCACACUAUCCUAUUUUAAAUAAUAUGACUUAUAGAUGACCCUCAAAUUGUCAAUUUUUAGGAAAUCUUAUAUAUUAUUCAUCCUUAGAUAGCGACUUAAAGGCGUCCCUUCUAAUCGUGUGCUCUCGAUGCAUUCAGAUGUUGAUUCAUAAAAUGAUGAGAUAUCCUUGACGCCAUCAUUUAUGUCUUGCGUGUCAACGAAUAUAAAAUGAUAAUGAUAUCCUCGACACCAGUGUUUCAGUCUAGCGCAUCAACAGAUAUUGAAUGAUGAUAUAUCCUCAACGCCAGCAUUUCUGUCUAGCAUGUCAACAGAUAUUAAAUGAUUAUGAUAUCCUAGAUGCUAGUAUUUCUCUCUAGCGCAUCAAUAGAUAUUGAAUAAUGAUGAUAUCCUUGAUGCCAGCGUUUCUUUCUAGCGCGUCAACAGAUAUUGAAUGAUGAUGAUAUCCUUUAUGCCAGCGUUUCUAUCUUGCGUGUCAACAGAUAUUAAAUGAUGAUGAUAUCCUCGACGCCAGCAUUUCUAUCUAGCGUGUCAAUAGAUAUUAAAUGAUGAUGAUAUCCUCGAUGCCAGCAUUUCAAUCUAGCGUGUAAACAGAUAUUAAAUGAUGAUGAUACACUCGACGCCAGUAUUUCUGUCUAGCAUGUCAACAGAUAAAAAAUAAUGAUGAUAUCCUCGACGCCAGUGUUUUUGUGUACCAUGUCAAUAGAUAUUGCAAGAUGAUGAUAUGAGAUGGCCCUCUCGGCAAUGACAUACAAUGGCCCUCUUAGCAAUGACAUGCAAUGGCCCUCUCGGCAAUUAUAUGCAAUAGACCUCUUGGCAAUGACAUGCAAUGGUCCUCUUGGCAAUGAUAUACAAUGGCCCUUUUGGCAAUACAAUUAAAUGGCCCUCUUGGCAAUGAUAUGCCAUGGUCCUCUUGGCAAUGAUACGCAAUGUCCCUCUUGACAAUGACAUGCAAUGGCCCUCUUGGAAAUGCAAUGAAAUGGCCCUCUUGGCAAUGAUAUGCAAUGGUUCUUCCAGUAAAUUAAAAACAAUUUCACGUAAAAUCAUUUGUUAGGGUCUUGCUUUUUGCAUGUACCUGUACUCAAGGUAGACGAUUAGUAGACACAAAGUUGCUUUUGCUAGCGCAUAUUUUUUAGAAAAUUUAUAAAUACAAUAUUUGUAAAGAUGACAAGACACUGUUGUUUGUCUUCCAUGAUCUCAAGAAAUGAGAUGGAAAAUUCAAAAGGUCCUCAAUAGAUAGGUAUUAAACCCAUUUUUAGGGAAACCAAAAAAUACCUUUCUUGAGCAUUAGUGCCCUGGUGGCUCCAGACUUUCUUGGGAAUUUUUGAAAGAAACACUCAUUUUUGUGUAUCGAUCCAUGCAUCCACAAAAAUUAUUAGUUUGAAUGAAACUACUCCGUGUUGACCUCCUUCGAUCCUUUAUCUGGCCCUCGCCAUCUUUCAGGUAGUUUGUCAUGUUGGGACUUCCGCCCAUGGCUCUCCGUCCCAAUUGAUUUCUAGGCAAGUACUAAAUAAAAUAUUUGUAUAGAUUCUUGAAAGUAGUCUUAAUUUUUAGAAGAUAGUUUCAAAAACUUAUAUAAAACAUUAGAAGAUCUCUGCCAUCCAUAUCAUAUAAUAACUCAACGAACAUCUUCCUCUUGAUUUUCACUAAAUCUGACGGAGGAUUUCCAAAAGUCAUCAUCAUUGUUGGAGGUUUCUUCAAAUAGUUCUAACAUAGCCAAAAGUUGAGUCUACCUAGACUUUGUCACAAUUGGUGGAUUCAAAGCUUGGCUUCAACCUCUGGUGCCGGGGAAUUUGAAAUAUAUUCCAGUAUUUGGUGGAAAUUUUGAGGCCUCCCUCAAAAUAUCUGCCCCAGUUUAGAGUAGUUUGAGAUGAUAUCAUGUCGAGUGAAUCUGAAGCCUUUGCUGAUCUUCAUUCUCUUUGUUGGAUAUUGAUCUUCUCUUGUGAAUUUUUGAGAUUCCUUCUCAAAAAAUCAGCCCCAAUUCCCAUUUCCUGGGGUUAUAUGACCGAGCCGUUGGGCCGUCUACAUAUCCCAUUGAAUCAGGAAUCAGGUCAAACGUAGUUCAAGACUACGUUAGGGAUAUAUAUAGAAAAAUCUAAUGGGUUGAGCGAAGCCGACAUAGGCCGCCUAUGUAUCCAUUUCUUGGGAAUUCAGGUCAAACAUAAUUCGUACAUAAAGGGAAAGGAUAAAUUUUUCUAAGGGGUUUACCGAAGCCGACAUAGGCCACCUACGUAUCCCUUUCUCGGGAAUUCAGGUCAAACGUAUUUUGUACAUAAAAAAGGGAUAAAUUAUCCUAAGGGGUUAACUGAAGCCGACAUAGGCCGCCUACGUAUCCCUUUCUUGGGAAUUCAGGUCAAACGUAGUUCGUUCAUAAAGGGAAGGAUUCUAUGUGAUUACUCAUCUUAAAAUUGAUACUAUUAUAAAGGCGAUUAUAAAUAAGCCAAGAAACAAAAACUAUAACAUCUUUCAGGCAUGAUAUAUCUUUACUGCAUCAGAAUUGAUUGGUUUGGUCCACUCUUGACCAUCCAUCUCAGGUAGGAUGGCAGGUUUUUAAAUUAUUGCUACCAAACUAAAUCAUGCUAGAUAAUCAUAUUUAAAAAAUAACUUCUUAAAAAAGGGAGGCCUUUUGGAAAAUAAAUAAAAACUAUGGCUUAUGACCAACACAAAACACGAAGCAAAAAUUUGUGACAUAAAAGGGUGAAUCACGGGGCCUCCUCCGGAUCAUCACCAUUUUUAAAAACUAUUAGUAAUUUCCCUUUCAUCUACCGUGAUGGGUGAUGAGUUAUGAAUGGAGUGGAGGUUCAAUUUUGCAAGGCCUCCCCUGGUGCAAUCUUCUUCACCUCACCAGACUUUGGGAAAUCAUCUGGUAGAGCAUUUUAUCCUUCGAACAGAUCACCUAUCCCAUCCCUAAGACCAUCAUCGUUUGACAUCUCAUGUAUUGGAAAUGACUGGUACAAGAGUGGCAAGGGCCUAAACAAACUCUCGUUUGAAUUAUCUUCGAUCUUAUCUUCCUUCCUUGGUUGGUACUCUAUUCCAUGCUUAAAAGUUUUUUCUGGUACUAUAAUACGCUUAAUAAUUCCUUCCAAAUCCUUACUUAAAGAGGCCACAACAUUCUCUAUCUUCUCCAUCUCUUCUGUUCUUUUGAGUCCUUCUGAAUUUACCUUAGUGAUGGCCUUGCUAGAUGCCCAUUCACCCUCUAUUUUAAGCAUGUUAACUGUAGGUCCCCCAUGGUUAGGCAAUGGAUUACUGUUAACAUUUGGUGUCGGUGACUGAAGUGUGAUGACCUUAUGAUCGAUCAAAUCUUGGAUCUUAUGUUUCAAGUUAAUACAAUCCUCGGUACUGUGCCCCGCUGCUCCUGAAUGAUAGGCACAAUUUUGAUCGGGAUGAUAAAAUCGGGAGUUGGGAUCGAUAGGAUUUGGCUGGAUCAGUUGCAAAUAAUCAGCUUUCAUCAAUCUUCCGAAGAGUUGGGUAUGACUUUCAGCUAGCAGCGUGAAGUUUCGGGGAGGUUUCUUUUCAACUUUCAGCUAGCGGCGUGAAGUUUCGGGGAGGUUUCUUUUUGAAGUUUGGACAUGGAGGGUUAUACUGGUUCUAAUUUACAGGAGGAGGUACUUGAUGAUGAUUUGGAGACAUUUGAAUGUUUAUUUGGUUAUUUGGAAAAGUAGCUUGAGUAUGAGGCUAAUAAUUUGGUUGUGGAACUUGGCACUGGGGUAAGAUAUUUAGAAUUGGGGCUCAGGCUGAAAACUUGAUGAUGAUGAUGAGGAAAGAAUAUUCCUAGGCUUGAAUUUCCUCUUUAACUUAACAACAGAAUUAGUAGAGACUGCAGUUGCAUCAUCUCUUUUCUUCUUUGGGAAUGCAGAAGAUUCAGAUAAUGUUGGGGUUUUGGCAAUUUUUCCUAUUCGAAUUCCUUCCUCUAAUGAUUCCCCAAUCUUUACUAAAUUUACAAAAGUUUCUCGGAACGCGGAUACCAUCCUAGUAUAAAAUUCUCAUUCCUAUGCAUGAGAGAAAAUCGAUACCAUUUCUUCCUCAGACAUGGGAGGUUGUACUUUAGCAGCCUCUUUUCUCCAACGAAAGGCGUAGUCUCGAAAACACUCAUUAUUCUUUUGUUUGAUUCGAUCUAGUGAGUAUCGGUCAGGGACUAUCUCAAUGUUAAAUGUGAACCUGUCAAGCAAACCCUUGGCCAAUGCUUUCCAACCAGUCCAUCUUUUUAGUUCCUGAGACAUGAACUACUCUAAGGCUUCGCCACUUAAACUUUGGCUGAACAGACGCAUCAAUAGCUCCUCAUUUUUCCCAACCCCCACUAUUUGUCACAAUACCUUCUCAGAUGGGCCAUUGGAUUUCCGAUUCCAUCAAACACUUUAAAUUUAGGGACCUUAUACCCUUCUGGUAGAUCUAUUCUAGGGUGAACACAUAAAUCAUCAUACCCUAAACCGUCGUGGUCCCUCACUCUAUGAGAUUCUUUGAUCCUCAUGAUAUCUUUAUUCAUAGAUAUCAACUUUAUUUCAUGCUUGAUCCUCCACUCUUUCUCCUUCUCCUCAUAAUGGUCCAUAUCGGGAUUAGAAAAGGGAUUAUAGAUAUCAGGGGAUAUAAUGGCAUCGAUAGAAUUUUGAAGGGAGGUUUGAUUUCAAGUAUAUAAAGAAGUUGGUUUGUUGGUGGGGAGGAUGUUUUGGAAAUUGGAAAGGUUAUGAUUAAUUUGCAAGUAGUUUGGUGGAAUCUGAGAAGAAUUUUGUGAAUUUGGAAAUAAAUUUUGUGGAUUCUGGGAUAGAUUUGAUGGAUUUUGCGGGUUUGGGAGUGAAUCUUGUGGAUUUGGGAAUGAAUCUUCUUGAUUUGAAAAUGUGUUUUUGGGAUUUGGGAAUGGAUUCGGACAUGGGUUUUGUGGGACUAGAGAUGAAUUUUGUGGAUGGUAGGCAUCUGGAUUAUUUUCGCGAUUAGUGUCUUGGACAAAUGGAGGAAUGGAUAUGGACGAUAUGUUAUUUGGGUGAUUCCUGAGAAUAGGUGUACUGAGGGGGAGAAUUUGGAGUGGUGUCCCAUGUCCUCCUGGAGCGGGGGCAUUGAGGGUGAUGGCCAGGUUAGCCAAAUCUCGAGUGCGAUUUAUUUCCUCCUGAAGCAUUUCUAACUUUCUUGCGAGCUCCGCAAUCACCUCACUUUGUUCUGCUAUUACAUUGUCCCUAAUGGUCAACGUAUUUUUUCAUCAUUUCCAGUCAUUAUUGAAUGAUGGUCAAAGGAUGGGAUUUUAUACGCUUUUGACUGGCUGAAGUAGGGAUAUUCUGCCAUCUUAUAUCAGCACGGAGUAUUUUCUAUUAUCUGUAAAGUAAAACAACUCAAAGGCAGAUGUGUUAGUUUUCGUAUAUGAUAAGUAAUGGGAAAUAUUUGACAAGAAAUAACCACGUAGAGUUGUUUGAGUCAUAUCCAAAUUCAUCCAUAGGAGCAUAGAGAAUAAACUUGUCUUUGAUCCAAAUAAACACACAUAAACACAUAAGACAAUUAUAUUACACAAAACAUUAUAAUAAUGUGUAUCCUAACUUGGGUGACCCUUUUUAAUCCAAGGGUUCCGGCCUAAUGAUUUUGAAGAAAAUAUAUUCUUCCUUAAAGUCAAUCCAUUAUCACCCAACUUAUAUAGACACUAAAAGGGCAUAAAUGCCUACAAACAAUAACAAAAGAGGGAUACAAUCUUUAGGGGAAAAGGAAAAUAACAUAACAGAAGAUAAGCUCCCACGCAGGGGAUAGAAAAUAUUAAUUCUUGAGUGUUUCUUCUAUCAGCCUUCGCCUUCUUCUUCUGUAAACUGUGCCUUAGAUGCAACCUCCCAAAUUGAUCAAUUUCAAUUCUUUCGUCAAUCGGUGUACGAUUGAGGCAUCUUUAGUCAAAAGUGAAUAAAAUAAGUCUUCUCCCGACCCCCAAAGGAUAAUCGAUUGAAUUAGACAGGCAUACAUUUUCUUCAACAUAUAAAUAUGGUUCGUCUAUAAUUGACUCGAGGUCAAUAGACGCAGGACAGGUUUUCUAAUGAGUCUAAUACCCACUCGGGUAUUGGGUCAUCCUAGGCUCAUUCCUAAAAUAAGAUUUUGGUUUCGUUCUAUCCUCGGUGUCUAGAGUGGGUUUGAAGACUGGUUCUCAAGAGGACAACUUGAGUUUUAAAAUAUGAACAGCAUCAGACGACAUUCGUAUUUUCCAACACAUUAUUGGAAUUGAACAAUAGGGGCCGGGACAUCCACAAAACCCAAUACAUUUUAAAUAAUCCAGGAAUAUGCCAUGAGAUGAGAUAGUUUAAACUUUACAAAAUCAAAACAUAUAAACACAUAAACAGUUAAUCAAAAGACGAAAUCAAACAUUUUGUUAGAACCUAGUUAAAAGUCCCCAGCAGAGUCGCCCUUUUUGUUUUGUGGAAAUUUUUGACUUUUUAAAGAGUCGCCACUUAAUUUUGAAAAGGAAUUAAGAAACCUUUAUAAAGUACUUCAAACGAAUUCAAAAUAGAAAAAUUGUUUAGAGUUAGAGAUUCUAGAUAAGCGAUUCCUAUUAACAUUUUAGGAAGGUGUUAGGCACCUAAAACGUCUGCUAACUUGCGGUUAUCCAGACUGUUUGAAAAUCGUUUUUGACUAACUUUUGGAAAAUAGAUUUGUUGGAAAAGUAAUUUAUUAAGUAGAAGCUUUUCACGAAAUCAGUUUUUUAGCGACUUAGUUAGGGAUUUAACUAGGUUCGCAAAGAAGUACGUAAACAAGUAAACGAAAGGAAAAUGGGAAAAAGCGGGGAAGUAGUGAUUUAGGUUUUUAAGCCCAAACCAUCGACCCUGUCCUAAUCUAGUUGGGUUUUCAACCCAUUUUUAUUUUCACCUGUCCUAAUUCUAUGUCUCGAACCUUUGUCUAGAGUCUUUGCUUCACCUGUGUUAAGUGCAUUUUUGGCUUCGAGGCCCAAAAUAAAUAACCCAAGAAAUAAAUAACUAAAACGACAAUAAAUAAUAAACGAUACAACCAUAGAUAAAUAAAUAAAAGAAUGAGACUUUCGGAUCUCAUUGCCACUUCGAGGACAAGGCUUCAACUCAAUCCUUCUUUCAACUCUUUGUACCCAUACAUCAUGUAAGC